rnacentral:rRNA from 1 species
GACGAACGCUGGCGGCGUGCUUAACACAUGCAAGUCGAACGGUGAAGCGCCUUCCUUUUUGGUGGGUGUGGAUGAGUGGCGAACGGGUGAGUAACACGUGAGUAACCUGCCCCCUUCUUCUGGAUAACCGCAUGAAAGUGUGGCUAAUACGGGAUAUUCUGGGUCUGUCGCAUGAUGGGUCUGGGAAAGAUAUUGUUUCGGUGGGGGAUGGGCUCGCGGCCUAUCAGCUUGUUGGUGGGGUGAUGGCCUACCAAGGCGGUGACGGGUAGCCGGCCUGAGAGGGUGGACGGUUACACUGGGACUGAGACACGGCCCAGACUCCUACGGGAGGCAGCAGUGGGGAAUAUUGCACAAUGGGCGCAAGCCUGAUGCAGCGACGCCGCGUGAGGGAUGGAGGCCUUCGGGUUGUGAACCUCUUUCGCCAGUGAAGCAGGCCUGCCUCGUUUGUGGGUGGGUUGACGGUAGCUGGAUAAGAAGCGCCGGCUAACUACGUG